rnacentral:rRNA from 2 species
UUAAAGCGAAUAAGGGCGCAUGGUGGAUGCCUAGGGUCUGAGAGGCGAAGAAGGACGUGGUAAGCUGCGAUAAGGCAGGGGGAGCUGCACACAAGCGUAAUAUCCCUGCAUUUCCGAAUGGGACAACCCGCUAUACUGAAGGUAUAGCACUCGAAAGAGAGCCAACCCGGAGAACUGAAACAUCUAAGUACCCGGAGGAAAAGAAAAUAACAAUGAUUCCCUAAGUAGUGGCGAGCGAACAGGGAAGAGCCCAAACCGUAUUUGCGUGCAGAUACGGGGUUGUAGGACUGCAUUUAGAAAGCGUUAUCAAGCUGAAGUCUCUGGAAAGUGACACCAUAGCAGGUGAAAGUCCUGUAAGCAUAAAUUAACGUAGACGAGCAGUAUCCUGAGUAGCGCGGGACCGGAGGAAUCUUGCGUGAAACUGCCAGCACCAUCUGGUAAGGCUAAAUACUCCUCAGACACCGAUAGUGAACCAGUACCGUAAGGGAAAGGUGAAAAGCACCCCGAACAGGGGAGUGAAAUAGUACCUGAAACCGUGCGCCUACAAGCGGUCGGAGCAACGCAAGUUGUGACGGCGUGCCUUUUGCAUAAUGAGCCUACGAGUUGCUCCUCACUGGCGAGGUUAAGUUCAUCUUUAACGGAGCCGCAGCGAAAGCGAGUCCGAACAGGGCGACUAGUCAGUGGGGGCAGACGCGAAACUUUGUGAUCUAUCCAUGGGCAGGUUGAAGUUCUGGUAACACAGAAUGGAGGACCGAACCCGUUAACGUUGAAAAGUUCUGGGAUGACCUGUGGAUAGGGGUGAAAGGCCAAUCAAACUGAGAGAUAGCUCGUUCUCCCCGAAAUGUUUUUAGGAACAGCCUCGGAUAAUAGAAGUAUGAUAGAGGUAGAGCUACUGAUUGGGCUAGGGGGCUUCACCGCCUACCAAACCCUGACAAACUCCGAAUACUAUCAUAUAUCUCCGGGAGUGAGGCUGCGGGCGCUAAGGUCCGUGGCCGAGAGGGAAAUAACCCAGAUUAGCAACUAAGGUCCCUAAUACAUAGUUAAGUUGAUCAAACGAGGUGGGACUUCAAUAACAGCCAGGAUGUUGGCUUGGAAGCAGCCAUUCAUUUAAAGAGUGCGUAACAGCUCACUGGUCGAGAGGUCCUGCACGGAAAAUAAUCGGGCAUCAAACUAUGAACCGAAGUUCUAAAAUUGUACUUGUACAAUUGGUAGGGGAGCAUUGAAACGACCUCGAAGCUGACAGGCGACUGUUGGUGGAGUUGUUUCAAAAGAAAAUGUAGGCAUAAGUAACGAUAAGAAAAGUGAAAAACUUUUCCGCCGAAAGUCUAAGGGUUCCUGAUCAACGUUAAUCGGAUCAGGGUUAGUCUGGUCCUUAGGAAAACCCGAAAGGGGCAUCUGAUGGAAAGAAGGUUAAUAUUCCUUCACCUGCACACGAUAAAAGUGACGCAUGGACGUGGUUGUUGCGUACUGACGGAAUAGUGCGCCUGAGCGGAACCUUCGGGGGAAGCGAAACAAUAAAAUCCGUGCCGAGAAAAGCGAGUGAUGCAGCCAGUACCGCAAACCGACACAGGUAGACGGGAUGAGUAUUCUAAGGCGCUCGGGUGAGCCGUGGAGAAGGAACUAGGCAAAUUAACGCUGUAACUUCGGGAUAAAGCGUACCGCAGUGAUGCGGUCUCAGUAAAAUGGUUCAACCAACUGUUUAACAAAAACACAGGGCCCUGCAAAAUCGAAAGAUGACGUAUAGAGCCUGAAACCUGCCCGGUGCUGGAAGGUUAAGGAAGGAUGUUCGGCGCAAGCCAAAGCUUCUGACUGAAGCCCCAGUAAACGGCGGCCGUAACUAUAACGGUCCUAAGGUAGCGAAAUUCCUUGUCGGGUAAGUUCCGACCUGCACGAAUGGUCUAAUGAGUUGAACACUGUCUCCUCCACGAGCCCGGUGAAAUUGUAGUAUCGGUGAAGAUGCCGGUUACCCGCCACGGGACGGAAAGACCCCGUGAACCUUCACUACAACUUUGCAUUGAUUUUGAGCACCAAAUGUGUAGGAUAGUUGGGAGACUAUGAAGCAGUGUCGCCAGGCAUUGUGGAGUCAACGUUGAAAUACCAACCUUUUGUUGCUUAGAACCUAACCUUGAAAAAAGGGACAUUGCAUGGUGGGUAGUUUGACUGGGGUGGUCGCCUCCUAAAAAGUAACGGAGGCUCGCAAAGGUACCCUCAAUACGGUUGGUAAUCGUAUAUAGAGCGCAUUAGUAAAAGGGUGCUUGACUGUGAGACAGACACGUCGAGCAGGAGCGAAAGCUGGCUAAAGUGAUCCGGUGGUUCUGCAUGGAAGGGCCAUCGCUCAAAGGAUAAAAGGUACUCCGGGGAUAACAGGCUGAUCUUACCCAAGAGCUCAUAUCGACGGUAAGGUUUGGCACCUCGAUGUCGGUUCGUCACAUCCUGGGGCUGGAGAAGGUCCCAAGGGUUCGGCUGUUCGCCGAUUAAAGUGGCACGUGAACUGGGUUCAGAACGUCGCAAGACAGUUCGGUCCCUAUCUGUGGUGGGCGCUAGGAAAUUGAGAGGACGUGACCUUAGUACGAGAGGACCGGGUCGCAUGUACCGCUGGUGAAUCAGUUAUGCCGCCAGGUGUAUUGCUGAGUAGCUAUGUACAGCAAGGAUAAACGCUGAAAGCAUCUAAGCGUGAAACCUACCUCAAGAUGAGUUUCCUUUUAAGGGUCGUCAGAGACGAUGACGUUGAUAGGCUACAGAUGUACAGAUGGUAACAUCAAAGUCGAGUAGUACUAAUUGCCCGUAAGCUUUAAUUUU